GCAGUCGAACAGCAGCACGGGAGCAAUCCUGGUGGCGAGUGGCGAACGGGUGAGUAAUAUAUCGGAACGUGCCCAGUCGUGGGGGAUAACGCAGCGAAAGCUGUGCUAAUACCGCAUACGAUCUAUGGAUGAAAGCGGGGGAUCGCAAGACCUCGCGCGGUUGGAGCGGCCGAUAUCAGAUUAGCUAGUUGGUGGGGUAAAAGCCCACCAAGGCGACGAUCUGUAGCUGGUCUGAGAGGACGACCAGCCACACUGGAACUGAGACACGGUCCAGACUCCUACGGGAGGCAGCAGUGGGGAAUUUUGGACAAUGGGCGCAAGCCUGAUCCAGCAAUGCCGCGUGCAGGAUGAGGGCCUUCGGGUUGUAAACUGCUUUUGUACGGAACGAAGCGGUUCUUUCUAAUAAAGAGAGCUAAUGACGGUACCGUAAGAAUAAGCACCGGCUAACUACGUGCCAGCAGCCGCGGUAAUACGUAGGGUGCAAGCGUUAAUCGGAAUUACUGGGCGUAAAGCGUGCGCAGGCGGUGAUGUAAGACAGAUGUGAAAUCCCCGGGCUCAACCUGGGACCUGCAUUUGUGACUGCAUCGCUAGAGUACGGUAGAGGGGGAUGGAAUUCCGCGUGUAGCAGUGAAAUGCGUAGAUAUGCGGAGGAACACCGAUGGCGAAGGCAAUCCCCUGGACCUGUACUGACGCUCAUGCACGAAAGCGUGGGGAGCAAACAGGAUUAGAUACCCUGGUAGUCCACGCCCUAAACGAUGUCAACUGGUUGUUGGGUCUUCACUGACUCAGUAACGAAGCUAACGCGUGAAGUUGACCGCCUGGGGA
rnacentral:rRNA from 1 species